UUUUUUUUUUUUUUUCAGGGCUGCACCUGAGUCAUAUGGAAGUCCCCAGGCUAGGGGUCCAAUCAGAGCUAUAGGGGCCAGCCUACACCACAGCCACAGCAACAGCAGAUCCGAGUCAUCUCUGCGAACUACACCAGAGCUCACAGCAAUGCUGGAUCCUUAACCCAGUGGGCAAGGCCAAGGAUCAAACCUGCAUCCUUAUGGAUACUAGUCGUGUUCGUUUCUACUGAGGCACAAUGGAAACUCCCUAACCUCCACUUCUAAGGCAUCUACCACCCUGAAUAGUAGACUUAGAACCAGGACCAAAAUGCUUGACCCCCAGGCCCUGACUUAUCAUCAGCAGGGACUGAGGAGGAGCUAAUGAAACUCAGCCUUUUUUCUAAGCAUUUUCAUAUAUCAUAUUAACUCCUUUAAUAUCCUCAACUCAGUGAAGUAAUAUUGUAAAGGAGCAGGACCCUAUGGAACCUUCCUGAGACAAAUUCCCGGCCUCCCCCCACUUCCCCCUCUGCUGCCCGCCCAUGUCCACUGUCUGCCUCUUGUCUGUAGAAAAACUUUUGUCAAAGAAUGAAUUUAGUCAGAGAAGUGAGAAAAUGCAAAAAGAGAGGAAAACAAAAAAGACGAAAUAAUAAUAGUUUAGCCAUUAAACAAAGUCGAGGACCUUUCAUUUCUCCUCAAGGGCUGUAGAUAAUAUUCUGAGCCACAUCCUUUGAGCUAUUUUGCAGAUACAAAACCCCUACCCAGUGGAAGACGUUAACAACAUGAUGACCAGACCUAUAGCCAUGACGUAAGCUGCUCUAUGUCACACAAUUCCAAGAACUGGCCUCAACGAAAUGGGAACAAACAAGCCCUGAAACUGAAGAUUACCUGAACCUAAAACAAUCAAGAUGACACUGAUCAGACCACUGCAUGACCAAUUUCAAGAUGACUGUCAGAGCCUACUGUGCCAUUUCUGCACAAAGCUCUCUCCGCCUAUACUCCUCUUAAAAAGCUCUUGCUCCCUGAUUGGCAAUGAAGAGUUGGCUUUUGGACACAAGUCCACCUUCUCCCCAGGUUGCCAGCUCCCUGAAUAAAGAGCCUUCCUUUCCUACCAACACUUGUCUCUCAAGAAUUCNGUUGGCUUUAGAGCAUCAAGCAGCCAAACCUGAAUUUGGUAACAAUAUCAUUAUGGUCGUAUUAGAAAACUGAGGCACAGAGAGGUUAGGUUACUUGCCUAAGAUUACCCAGCUACUCACCAGUGGAGCUAGGAUGUGAACUUGGGCCCUCUGAGUCUCAGAACCCCAGGGAUAACAUCAACUACUUUAGGAAUUCUGGGCCACAUCCCCACUGAGUUUUGUCUCAUACUCCCCCCUGACAUGAAAUACACACCCACUUAAAAACCCUCUUUCCGAAGACUCAGACUCUGACCUGACCAUUUCUCUUUAGUCUCUCUUUAAAAAGCAGAAGUGGAUUAUUGCAUCCAUUUGGGGGACCCCCUAGAAAUAUGUGGAGACCCUGGCAUUGCUGCCUUCCUUCCAGGGCCUAGGCCCCUUGUCUGCCUCAGGUUAGGACACAAGGCCCCACAUCAGGAAUGCAUGGUUGUCCCCCAGAUGCCAUGCCUGCACCGCUUCCCUCCGGAGGAGCCAAGUUCCCCUCCAUCACCCUUUACGGCGCUUUCAUCCAUUAACUCACCUAAACCCUGUGCCUGCACUUGGCCAAUCUGCCAUUAACAAAGGAUGCCUCUUGGCCUGCAGAACUCACUUUGAAGCCACCACCGCAUCACAUCAGAUUUUUUUUUCUGUCCUUAACGUGUCUUAUCUUUGAACAUCUACUACUUUGUUUCCCAAGAGUCUCUGGAACUAGGGUGGCCUGUGUGUUUUUACCAUGAUUUCCCACUAAUUUUUCCCCCCUCACCAGUCUUUAUGCUGAUGAGACUUGUGAAAUUUCUAAUCUGGAGAGGGGGCGUCUCCCUCACGCCCGUGGGUGAUGGGGUUUUCUGGAUUUUGCAUGACUUUGCCAUGGAUACCCUUCUCUCACCUUCACCCACAGGAAACUCAUCCACACCUGACUUGUAUAUUUCAGGUUAUUGAGCCACGUCUGUGCCCUUUUCUCUAGGGCCUGGUCAGGGGCAUAAGAGACGAUCACUUCAAGCCUGUCUCUGGGGAGCUUCUGUGUUUACCGGGACACAAUUGACAAGACUGUUUGGGUGAUGAGCAUAAAAAAAAAAAAAAAGUGGAAAAAAGAUCUAACAAAGGGCUUCAUUUAGGGAGGAAGAAAAGCAGGCUUCGGGUGGGGCUGUGGGAUUCAAGCGGCCAGACAGGCUUCCUGGAGAAGUUGUCAAGGCUGAAAUUCUCCCAACCAGAGCCCUCACCCCUCAGACCCACAGCCUCCUUUUAUCGCCAGGUUUGUCACGCCCCAUUACUAUCCAAGGAUGGAAAGCCGAGAUAAUAUAACCAACCUAUCCACAUAAUUUCCCCCAAAAUCAAUAUAUUGACCAACUGUAAUAUAAAGGAGAAAUCAAAGGAAAGUAAGUUAUAAUAAAAUAAUAUAUAUUUCAAUAUGUAAAUGCUCAGCAACAAUGAAGACAUGGAAUCCUUGCACCUAAACAUAAAACCACACGAUAGGGCAGCUGUCAGUGUCUCCUGCCAUGGUGCAGGGGUUGUGCUGGUGACUCAAGGGCCAGAAGUGUUGUGCCCACAGGAACAGCUGUUUGUGAAACAGUGAACAACUCUUGGUAGGAUUCAGAACAGAGAACAAUUUUCCCCUCAAUCAUCACAGGAGCUGCCUUCCCAGAAAACUGAGUGUCUAUCAAAACCAUGCAAUGGUAUUCUGUGUGUAAAACCAAGCUAGGUUUAAACGCACGGCAUUGUAAACAGGCUUUCCUGCCCCCAGGCUCACAGUCAAGCCUGGCACCCUUCUGCCGGUUGUGCAGGUUGUGCACUGCACAGCCACUGACUUCAUCAAGUAAGUGAAUGGUGCCCCCUAGGGUUGUGGAGUCCACAGCAACUUGCUCGAAAUUUUCAAAGUGUGCAUGGGAGGAGGGAGACUUCUUCGGUGCAUGAGACUGACCUGCACACUGCAGUACAAAGAGAGAACUCCUGCCCCCCGCCACUGCCCCCCCCACAAACAAAAUGCCAGCACUGUCACAACAAAUUACCCCCACAAAUGUCCAAACUAGCCCCUGGGCAGCACUGUGUUAGAGAGCUGCAGCUCCAGCCUCUCCUGCCACAGGUAGUCUUCAGUCUCUUCUUGAAUCCUCUUUAUUGCUUUCUCCAUUCAUCUUUUCCUUCCUGCUCCUGCCCCAGGUCAGCCUUCAUGGCUUCAUUCCUGGACCAGCAGAGGCAUCCAUCCACCUGGGUUCCCUGCUUCUGGUCUCGGCCCCUCCAGUUCAGCCAGGGAUGCUGCCCAGCACUGCAGUCCAAAGACCUUCCUCUCUCUCACCCCUGCACUCAGAAUUCAGUUCUACACUGACAGCAUUUCUUGCUCUGACCCCCAUCUUUCCACAGUAAUCUUUCCUCCCAGCCCCUCCCAUUCUCCAAGCAUUCCCACCUCCAUACCUGUGCUCCCACCAUUCCCACUUCUUGGCCAACCCAUCCCUGAUCCUGCCUCCUCCUCCUUCUCUGCCCUUAGGUGCCCACUGAUUCACUAGCCUUCCCAGACAUGCAUGGUCAGAAGCAAUGAGCCUCUGGGGUGUUUCAUGUGUAACUCUUGGAAAUGCACAGCACCUUUGUAGAGUGUUUUUCUCCCUCUGUAAAUUAGACUCUCUCCCAGAGCAAGGACCAGGACUUACUGCUCUUGGGCCCCCCCCCACUGGCAAUCCAUGUGACUCAAGGUUGGUUGUCCCUAGGGUAGGGACAGCCUAGGAGGAGCAUGGAUUUAACCAGUGGGUGCUGGGUGUCCUGUGGCUUCCUGAGUGGGAACUGAUCUGAAGAGCUUCGAUGGAUUGGUCUGGUGAGGUGGGGUACAUAGUAUUGGGGCAGAGAGUGAAGGAUGCCGCCAUUACAGCACGAAAGGGUAGUGGCUGGUCUUCUGCGUGGAAGAGCCAAUCAGAGGAAGCCCUGAACCCACUCCCAAGGCUUAACUUCCUCUAUGCCCCCUGAGGCUGAGUACAUAUCAAAAGAACCUGAGAAUCUGAUUUUUUAAAUACAGAUGCCCAGGGCCCGGGCUGGAGAGUCUGAUUUGACAAAUAUGGAUGGUGCUUGUACUUGCAUAUAUUGGGGGCAGGGGUGUUAAUCUCUGAGGCAACUCUAGACAGAGUCAGGAGAGAGCGCUGGCUGUUGAACAGACAAGACUGGUCACCUCCUGGGCAAGGCCCUGAGCAAAAGAGGUGGGGGCAUCUAUGGCCUUAAGGCCUAGUCCCUCGAGAAGGAGUCCCAGAAGCCCACAGAGAAUCAGUAAGCCACAAACCGGGACGUCACCCAAGACCUGGGCCCAGGGCAGCUCCAACCCUCCCGACGAGACAAAGGUCCCCCAAUACCACCCCAAAGGGCUGUUCACACUGGGCCUGCCUCCCCGGCCAGGGGCUGUGAAUAAGCCUGGCUAUGGGGUGCAGGUGCUCCUGUGUCCCCGCUGCUGGGCUACUGGGCUGCCAUGGGAGGCUGGAUGGGACAGGCCUGGCGAAUACUUUAACAGAGAAGUGAGGGGUACACAUGCAAGCGUGCAAGUGCAUGCGUGUGUGUCCGUGCACUCUCGCUGCUCCUACUGCUGCCACUGCUGUGUCUGGCAGAAAAGCAGGCCUUGAAAGCCCUCACUGUUGCUUCAUCACACCCAGGGGUGGGGACUUGCCCAAAGCUAGGGGUAUGGGUGGGAGUGGGGAGGGGCAGGUGGAGAGGGAGGACUCUGAGAUUUUAUUCUGGCCAUUUUGAAUAGGACCAGGUAGGGGGGCAGGAAAGGGGAGUACCAACUCCCCGCUGAAGCAGAGCAGUGGGCCCCAACCCCCACACAGGGCCUGACUCUAAUGUCUUCUGAUGGGACAAAUUGGUGAGCGCGACUAUUAGCUGGGUGACAUCAAAAGGCAUUAAUCUCUGGUUCCCGAGCAGGACCAGCACCACAUUAGUGCCUCGCACCCAGUCAUUAUUAAGACUUUAGCCCAAGGGUGUAAUAAAUGUUUUAUGGCAUGCAAACCAAGGUAAUGGAAUGCAAAUCCCAUAAUAUAGCCAUACAUUUAUUUUCUAAUGGAGCAAAUGAUGAUGUAUUUUAUCUGGGAAGAGCUGCCAAUAGGGUCUGCCUGGGAAAUGUGAAGUUACCGACCC
rnacentral:lncRNA from 1 species